rnacentral:rRNA from 1 species
GCAAGUCGAACGAGAAAGUUCCUUCGGGAAUGAGUAGAGUGGCGCACGGGUGAGUAACGCGUGGGUAAUCUGCCCCUUGGAUUUGGGAUAACUUCGCGAAAGUGGAGCUAAUACCGGAUAGUCUGGCUUUGUAAAAGGAGUCGGUAAAGGAUGCCUCUGCAUAUGCAUUCGUCCGAGGAUGAGCCCGCGUCUCAUUAGCUAGUUGGUAGGGUAACGGCCUACCAAGGCGACGAUGAGUAGCUGGUCUGAGAGGAUGAUCAGCCACACUGGGACUGAAACACGGCCCAGACUCCUGCGGGAGGCAGCAGUGGGGAAUAUUGCGCAAUGGGCGAAAGCCUGACGCAGCAACGCCGUGUGAGGGAUGAAGGUUUUCGGAUCGUAAACCUCUGUCAGAAGGGAAGAAGUGAUGCGGGUCCAAUAGGCCCGCAUUUUGACG